rnacentral:rRNA from 1 species
UACGUAGGGGGCAAGCGUUGUCCGGAAUCAUUGGGCGUAAAGCGCGUGUAGGCGGCUUGGUAAGUCUGCUCUGAAAGCCCGGGGCUCAACCCUGGGAGGCGGGUGGAUACUGCUGAGCUCGAGUCCGGAAGAGGCGAGUGGAAUUCCUGGUGUAGCGGUGAAAUGCGCAGAUAUCAGGAGGAACACCAAUGGCGAAGGCAGCUCGCUGGGACGGUACUGACGCUGAGACGCGAAAGCGUGGGGAGCAAACAGG